CCCUUAGAUGUUCUGGGCCGCACGCGUGCUACACUGAGUGGAUCAGCGGGUCAGGUUGCGCGAAAGCGUUUCCUAAUCUUUAAAUCCGCUCGUGAUGGGGAUUGACGGUUGCAAUUUUCUGUCAUGAACGAGGAAUACCUUGUAAGCGCGGGUCAUCAUCCCGCGCUGAAUACGUCCCUGCCCUUUGUACACACCGCCCGUCGCACCUACCGAUUGGAUGGUCCGGUGAAGCCUCGGGAUUGUGGCCAGUGCCUUUUUGGUUUUGGUUGCGAGAACUUGUCUAAACCUUAUCAUCUAGAGGAAGGUGAAGUCGUAACA
rnacentral:rRNA from 1 species